UUAAAUCAGUUGCAAUCCAGUUACGACUGCCAAUAAGAAUUUAAUCUUGCUACACCUUUCAGGCACAGCACCCUGCAGAUCCAGUUAGUCCGAGGGGCUGAUGAAACAGUAUUGAUGCUGCUUGAACUCAUGUUUAUAAACCCCAAACUGAACAAAAAGGGAGACAGGGUGUGGCUGACGGAAUUCGAGGCUGGAACUUUCCGUGAACUGAGACAGAGCUCCAGCAGCUUACUGAGAAAAAUGAAAGAUCUACAUCAUGGAAAUGUGAAUCCGUUCCUGGGCCUCAUUGCCAUGGCGACAGAGCACUGUUCCUGAGGAAGCCUGGAAGACCUACUGAGAAAUGAGGGUGUGAAACUUGUCUGGCUGUUCAGAUCAUCUCUUCUGGUGGAUUUAAUUAAAGUAAAUCCAUUGUUCAUGCUAAGGCCACACCAUAUUUGCACCAAUUAAGCUAUGUUGUUUAGAGG
rnacentral:lncRNA from 1 species